GGAGGGUUAGGGCUAGGGAUUAUGUUAGGUUUUGGUUUAAAUUAAGAUUAGCUUUAAGGUGAGGGUUUAGGCUUGGCUUAUGGGUAGUGCUAUCUUUGGUUGGGGUUAGGGUUACUGUUAGCAUUAGGUUAGGGCUAGAGCUAAGGUUAGGUUUAUUAUGAAGUUUAUUGUUAAUGUAAGAGUUAGUGUUAGGUCUAGGUCCAGGGUUAGGCAUAACCAUUAGGGUUAGGCUUUUACUUCAGCCAAGGAUUAGGACCAGAGCUAGACCUAAGGUUAGUAUUAGAUUUAGGGUCAGUGUUAGACUAGCUAGCUUAACUAGUUAAACUAGUUUUAGGGUUAGUAUGAGAGCUAUGGUUUUUGCUUUUGUUUCUGUUUAAUAUAAUUAAAUUUAUUGAUAUGUUUUGGAUAUACACUAAGAUCAUAUUUGUCAUAGGACAUUUCUGACUGUACAUGGUAUAUUUUGAUUUCUCUGCUUUUCCCCAAUCCCUUUCCCUCCCUUCAAUCCAUUUUCCCCUCCCUCUUUACAAAGCUUUGUUUCUAUUUGAUCUUUUUAAAUAGUUAUUUUCCUUUUUUCCUUUCCCACUUUCCCCACCUAGUUGUUCUUUCCUUUUCAACAAUUUCUUCCAUUGCUCAACAUCUAUUGUUCAUUUUGGUCCUUAUUUCCUCCUUCAGUUUCUCACACUAUGAGAUAUUUACACAUUUACAUCUGAUUUAUUUCACAGGAGAAACAGCCUCGGAGCACAUGUGAAACUGUCUCCCAAAUAAGCAGUCGUGCUAUUUCUUGAUCACUUCCAGCCUCCCCACGUAAAGCAGCUUUACACAGUGUUGGUGGCUGGUUGUGCCAGAGCCAGUGCUCCACACGCUCCCUUCCACAACAGUGUCCCAUGAAAAGAGGAGGCGCUCAGCCUUAAAAUGAAGGCAGUCAUGGAGCACUGCUAUGCUUUGUGUCUAGAUGUCCCUCAAAGCCUCCUGCAGUCAUGGGUGCUACUGAAGACGGCUAGGGAAAGGGCUCAGGCUUCCAGCCUGGAUCAAGCUCCAUGGAGCACCCACGUUGGGUCCAGUGGCAGCCCACGCAGCCCACCUCAGGCCAUGGAUUCCACUCACCUCCUGGCUCACUUGGAAAAUGACCUGCGAGACAGUGAAGUGACUCGUCUAUCCUGUGCCUUGGAUGGUUUGGGACAAUGUGGUUCUGUCCCCUAGUAGGGAAAAUGACUUCAAGGUUUGAUCCUAGAAUUGAUCUAACAAGAGCUCAAGGGACAAAGACACAAGGAAUGUGGAAACUCAACCAGACAUUUUUCAGAGGGGAACAGAACAGAAUGGGCUGUGAUAGCGACACAGCCAGGCGUCAGAGAGACUGAGCCCUUACGUCAGGCCACUUACUCCUCAGCACUCAGCCCCAGCUAUUCCUGAAUCCUGAGCCCGCAGAGUCUCAGGGCUGUCCUGGGACCUGGAGGUGUGCUGAGCCAUCCUCCCAUGAAAUGCAGAGGACCAUAGAACCCAUGCCCCACUUCAUACGCUGCUGUGUGAAUGUUUCUGGUGGAGGGGAGCUCAUUUCCCGUGGACCCAAGGUCAAGAAAUGUGGCAUUGCCAAAAAUGUACCUAAGGUAGGAGUCCAUAUAGCUGCACUGUGGACAUCUGUGGAGCAUUCUAAUUGUUAUAAAGGUCUUCCUGAAAACUUUCUCUAAGUCAUCAUCUGUUUCCACAUUCUGUUUCCAGGACACCAAGCCUACUGUACUCCUCCACAGAACUGUGCCAAAUACCUGACGAUCUGCUGUACAGAACAGGUCUGUAUGGCAGAAAGGCUGUCGGUGGCCUCUCAUUGCAAGACCUCGGGAGGGGAAGCAGAGGUGCACCUGAGACUGGCCUGCUUCUCACCUCUGCUGGCCCAUCAGUGAAAUUGCAGUUUUGCCUCGAGUCACUAGGUGCCACUAGCGCUGCACCUGGCAGAUACUACUUGUGUGAGUGCUGAGCAUGAGGUCCCUUUGAAAAGGAAAGCCCAGUACACUUUGAACACCAAGUUUCACUUAAAUUGUUUCACUAUCACACUGAUGAACAUUGUACAAACACCAACAGUAAUGUAACACCUUAUGCUUAUCUCAAGAGAGUAAACUUUAAAGACAAAAAUUAAAACAGAG
ensembl:lincRNA